UACAGAGGUCUCAAGCGUUGUUCGGAUUCAUUGGGCGUAAAGGGUGCGUAGGCGGCGCGGUAAGUCGGGUGUGAAAUCUCGGAGCUUAACUCCGAAACUGCAUUCGAUACUGCCGUGCUUGAGGACUGGAGAGGAGACUGGAAUUUACGGUGUAGCAGUGAAAUGCGUAGAUAUCGUAAGGAAGACCAGUGGCGAAGGCGGCUCACUGGCCCGGUACUGACGCUGAGGUGCGAAAGCGUGGGGAGCAAACAGG
rnacentral:rRNA from 1 species